rnacentral:rRNA from 1 species
AACGAUGAAGGCCUUUUUGGUUGUAAAGUUCUUUUACGAGGGAUAAUUAUGAUAGUACUUCGUGAAUAAGUGACAGCAAACUAUGUGCCAGCAGCUGCGGUAAUACAUAGGUCGCGAGCCAUUAUUCGGAUUUAUUGGGCGUAAAGCAAGCGCAGGCGGAUGUGUAAGUUCUGUGUUAAAUGCAGCUACUCAAUAGUUGUAUGCACCGAAUACUACAUGUCUAGAUUGUGGUAGGGAGUUUCGGAAUUAAGCAUGGAGCGGUGGAAUGUGUAGAUAUGCUUAAGAACACCAGAGGCGAAGGCGGAAACUUAGGCCAUAAAUGACGCUUAGGCUUGAAAGUGUGGGGAGCAAAUGGGAUUAGAUACCCCAGUAGUCCACACCGUAAACGAUGGGUAUUAGAUAUUAGGGCUUUAGCUUUAGUGUUGUAGCUUACGCGUUAAAUACCCCGCCUGGGUAGUACAUAUGCAAAUAUGAAACUCAAAGGAAUUGACGGGGACCUGAACAAGUGGUGGAGCAUGUUGCUUAAUUCGAUAAUACACGAAAAACCUUACCCAAGGUUUGACA